CUCACCCAGCGGCGGCCGUUCCCUCAGAACCCAGGGCGGCGGGGAGGGGGUAACGAGCCAGCGAGGAGCAUAACCAACGACCAGCACCACUUCCGCCGGAAGCCGUCCUCUGACACUUCCGCUUCCGGGACCCCAUUCACCGGAAAGAGCUCUGGGCCAAGCCCCGCGCCCACCCUGGGGCACAGCCCGCGCUCCCCCUGCCCAGCCGGGCUUCGGAAUCUGAAGUAGGGCAGUGUCGGGCUGACGGCGCCGGAGGAGAGGGGCAAGGCUGGAUCCGCGUGCUCAGUAGCCUCGCGGCGCUGCUGCGUGCGCAGCCCAGGCAGCGGUGCCUGCCCAGAGCAAGGGGGGGCCGCACACGUGCAGCCGGCGCGAUGCGCCCUGUACGGAGCGUUACCGCUGGGGCCUUUCUUCUCUAGCAGAAAAGGGAUUUUUCUCUAAAACUUGCUAUGUGCAGCAAUAAGACAAGUGAUUCAGGCCUUUGUAACCUCAAGCAUUCAUUUACCCUAGAGUUCUACUUUGGCCUACUUUUGAAGAGCAUGUCAGCCGACACAAUGCAACAGCUUAAAUUUGAGAUGUAAAAUCUCCUUCAAGAGUCGAACCAAUCCAAAGAAGUUUGUAUCCAUCACAGUUCUCAUCUCAUCUAUGGUCUGGCAUUCAAUAGGUCCAAUGAGCCCCAUUCCAGCAUUGCUAACUGUACAGAUGCAAAACACAGUAGUGAGUAGUAACUGCAACAAACAUUAACUUGUCACUUUCACUGGAAACGCAUGGUAAAAAUGAGUGACUGGAAUAAGGGAUUAAAACACACAAGAGCAAUUAAUUAUUCAGCUUCUUACUGAAACCUUGAGAUUACAUUUGACUCUAAUACAUUUUAAAAUAUCUACUAUUCUGAAGUAUUUGUUUAUUUCUGAUUUAUGCCUUACUUUUUUUCUUUAAAUCAGGAAAGGGUAAGGGAAAAAAUGAGCAAAAACUUCUCUAUACACCUCUACCCCGAUAUAACGCGACCCGCUAUAACACGAAUUCGGAUAUAA